rnacentral:rRNA from 1 species
ACUCAAAGGAAUAGACGGGGGCCCGCACAAGCGGUGGAGCAUGUGGUUUAAUUCGAUGCUACGCGAAGAACCUUACCCAGACUUGACAUCCCGCGCAUAGCCGUGAAAGCGGUGAAUUCCCUUCGGGGACGCGGUGACAGGUGCUGCAUGGCUGUCGUCAGCUCGUGUUGUGAGAUGUUGGGUUAAGUCCCGCAACGAGCGCAACCCUCGUCGCUAGUUACCAUCAUUAAGUUGGGCACUCUAGCGAGACCGCUGAGCUAUAAGCCAGAGGAAGGUGGGGAUGACGUCAAGUCCUCAUGGCCCUUAUGUCUGGGGCUACACACGUGCUACAAUGGAAAGGACAAUGCGUUGCAAGCCGGCGACGGCAAGCUAAUCGCAAAAAACUUUUUUCAGUUCGGAUUGGAGUCUGCAACUCGACUCCAUGAAGCUGGAAUCGCUAGUAAUCGUGGAUCAGAACGCCACGGUGAAUACGUUCCCGGGCCUUGCACACACCGCCCGU